AUACGGAGGAUGCGAGCGUUAUCCGGAUUUAUUGGGUUUAAAGGGUGCGUAGGCGGGUUGCCAAGUCAGGGGUGAAAUCCCGGAGCCUAACUCCGGAACUGCCUUUGAUACUGGCAGUCUUGAAUUCGGAUGCCGUGGGAGGAAUGAGUAGUGUAGCGGUGAAAUGCGUAGAUAUUACUCAGAACACCGAUUGCGAAGGCAUCUCACGAAUCCGACAUUGACGCUGAGGCACGAAAGCGUGGGGAUCAAACAGGAUUAGAUACCCUGGUAGUCCACGCAGUAAACGAUGAUGACUAACCGUCGGCGAUAGACAGUCGGUGGCCAAGCGAAAGCGAUAAGUCAUCCACCUGGGGAGUACGACCGCAAGGUUGAAACUCAAAUGAAUUGACGGGG
rnacentral:rRNA from 1 species